AUAGAACGCUGGCGGAAUGCUUUACACAUGCAAGUCGAACGGCAGCACGGACUUCGGUCUGGUGGCGAGUGGCGAACGGGUGAGUAACAUAUCGGAACGUAUCCAAUAAUGGGGGAUAACUAAUCGAAAGGGUGGCUAAUACCGCAUACGCCCUACGGGGGAAAGCAGGGGAUCUUCGGAGCUUGCGUUAAAGGAGCGGGUGAUAUCUGAUUAGCUAGUGGGUGGGGUAAAGGCUCACCAAGGCGACGAUCAGUAGCUGGUCUGAGAGGACGACCAGCCACACUGGAACUGAGACACGGUCCAGACUCCUACGGGAGGCAGCAGUGGGGAAUUUUGGACAAUGGGCGCAAGCCUGAUCCAGCCAUUCCGCGUGAGUGAAGAAGGCCUUCGGGUUGUAAAGCUCUUUCGCAAGGGAAGAAAACUUACUUUCUAAUAAAGAGUGAGGUUGACGGUACCUUGAUAAGAAGCACCGGCUAACUACGUGCCAGCCGCCGCAGUAA
rnacentral:rRNA from 1 species